AGUGAAUGGAAGGAUUCGUGUUUAAUGAAUCUACCCUGAAUUAAGUGACCUGAAGAAUUCACGCUGCAUGUAUCUACCCAGGAUUAAACUGAAGGCUGAGGCUUUAUGAUGCCAUUUUCUUCAUUCGUGGAUUCCUUUAUUUUCAACCAGCAAUAUCCAUGGUGGUGGCUGCUCCCUCAGGUCUGAGCAGCGACAGUGAACAGAGCACCCCUGCGGCCAGGAUGGGCUUGUAUCAUUUGAGUAAGAAUUGAACCAUGACUCUUCAGAUGCCAUGAUUCAGACCACAGCAUAAUGCAGCACGUGCUGACAUAUGCACUGGGGUGCCAGACUUCGAUGCAUCAUUGGAUUAUGAAUCAAUUUGGUCCUUUUCUUCAAGGCCAUCUGUCAUAUCAUCCUACCAACAGGAGCCACAGCUUACCUGAUGUCGUCUGGAUAA